ACUGAAAUUGCAUUUCAACACCACGUGCUCAUACACCGCCAUUUAUACAUCUGGGCUCUGGACUGUUGAUGCAUUAUCUCACUAAGCUUAAAGGAAGCUUUAGCUACUGAUUGCAAAAUGUAAUUAUCUAGCAUUAUUUUUGUUUGUUUAAAGCGGUCAUAUUAUACAACUUUUUAGUAAGCUAAUACAGUAUAUUAUGCAGGGUGUGUUUAAGAUUGAUGUUAGAGUUUGUAACCGAAAUAAUACAACAUACAGGCACUGAAAAAAACAAAAAUGGACCUCUUCAGAUGUUUAAAGCUGUGUUCCCAUUAUCGCGGCAAAACAUAUUUUCCCCACAUUUCCUUCAUUGUGUGAGUGGUGUGUUGGACGCACCACAUCUUGUGCAUAGGAAUGUAACAUGCACAGCAGAGGCGCACAGAAUGGAAAGUUCAAAUUUGUUGAGGUUUAAUCUUUGUAGUCAGUAAGUGGAGAGUAGGGCGGAGCCUCUUCACGAUGGAGGAGAGGCUAAUGCCAAUAGUUUGUCUGAAUUUUUGGAAUUGUGCAAGAGAAAAGUAGCCAAAGUGAAGUCUGGCUAAUGCACUCCACACACACUACUGUCAAGUUAAUGUCAUGGCUAAUGCUUGCAACAGGUGCAUUUCUGGAUUGGUCAAGAUGUGUGUGAACCAGUGUGGUGCACGAGAAAACAAUAAGAUGAACACACCGUUUAACACGACCUGUUUCUGUGCGCCAUGUUGCUUUAACGGGAAAGGAGCUACUGCUCGCCACACCCCUUACUUGUGGGUGUGUCACAGAGCGCUGACCAGCUCAGUGGGUGUGGCUGUAGCAGGAAGCAGGACUUCGCAUAAGGAUUUCUGUAACCUAUGUCACGGGAAUAAUUUCAGGCCUAAUUUCAGUUUACAGGAGUUGUUUCUGCACGCACGGUCACAGAAUGACGUGUGUGCACAUGGUCGCCAAUAUGGCAUUAAAUAAU